CUUAUUCUUUGAGCCAUUUACUUGCAUUCCUUCUUUUGUGUUUGAAUUUAUUUUUAUUGAAUAUCAACUCACUUCACUAAAUCUCUUUAGUAUAUUUUUUUAGUGCACUAAUCUUUUAAAAUUUAAAAAAAGAUCCAAUUCAUCCCUCCUCUUAGUUUUCAUAUCUGAACAACAAGUGGUAUCAGAGCAUGGUGCUCUAGCUUUUGCUUGAUUUAACCAACAAGAGCUAAAAGUCUAUGGCAGCCCAAUUUGGCACAUCCCUAGCCGAGGGGUAAUCCACAAACCGACCUUCAGUU
rnacentral:lncRNA from 1 species